rnacentral:misc_RNA from 1 species
UCUCCGUAGGUGAACCUGCGGAGGGAUCAUUACUGAGUGAGGGUCUCCGGGCCCGACCUCCAACCCCAUGUGAACCGAAACCUGUUGCUUCGGGGGCGACCCUGCCUUCGUGCGAGGCGCCCCCGGAGGCCUUCAAACACUGCAUCUUUGCGUCGGAGUUUAAGUAAAUUAAACAAAACUUUCAACAACGGAUCUCUUGGUUCUGGCAUCGAUGAAGAACGCAGC